CUAAAUUUCUCCAAAUCUGCAAACUCAUCUACAUCUUGGAUGGUCUAAGCAUGAGUACAUUUUCAUUUCUGGGUGAACUACUCUUCAAUUUGACCUACACAGUACUUUGAGGAGUUCAUUUAUGUUUGGAAUUUGUUUGCCUUAAAAGGAAACCAUAAAAUACAUUAUGUAAUAACAUAAAUCCAUAGUGUCACUGUGCACUGGUGUAGAAGCUGUUGCAUUUGUCCAUGCUCAGCGAGACAGACAGAGAGGGGGAGAUGCCUUAGGCUGGCCACCAGCCAUGUCCACAGUUUAUGUAAAAAUGAGCCACCUCUGCCUGACCGGAGCACUGAAAAUCCAUCCUGGGAACACUUUGAUUGGUCAGGAAUGUGACUGUCACCUGACCGCCAGGAGGCAGAGUAUAAUAAGCAGGUCUGUAGGGAGGUCAGCCUGCAUUAUUUGAGGCUGGUUUAAAUAGCCAGGGUAAAAGCGAAAUGAUAGAUAGAGUUAGAGAGAGACUGCAAAUAAAUGGUUAUUAAAGAUAUGGAUAAGGAACUCUUAAGGAGAAACAGGGUGAUAAGGAGAGAGGGAAUGGAGCUUUAGGAGAGAAUGCAUGAGGGUGACAGUGAUAUAUAGGAAACAGAGCAGGGAGCACAAACUAGGAGAGAUGGCGCUCUUUUCAGAUGUUCUCUUCCUCUAUUCACUGCAAUGCGGGAGGGGCAGAGUGUGUGGACUACAUUCAUCCACAAUGUCAGUCUUUGUCAGGAUGUUAUCAACACUCAGGGAUCCGGCCCUUACGUGGACCAGUAGAACACGCUCUUCCAAGAGACUCUUGGUAUAGAUGACCUCAUUUCCAACAUAAAAGCCUUUUUUAUCCUCUUAGAGACUGUCAACCCCUAUUGGACAAGUGAUUCUACUGUUUAAUAAUAAAAAAAAGAACUAAUCUGAUAAGACUGGCAGUCCUUCAUAUUUUAAAACCGCCAUUCAGACUUGUCAUUGCUAGGUUCUACUGUAGAAUAAAAGCUAUAAAAAAGCAUAUAAAAAGUGUCUUGUGUAUUGCAUAUAUUGAAAAUAAUUUAAUUAUAAGUAAAGUUUCAGAGAGAAGUAGUCAGUUGAACAAAUGUCAUAGUUGUGGAACAUCCAAAAAUAAAGGAUUAAUAUAAUACAAAAUGUUACAUCAAUAUGAAUAUUUUUUUAGAUCAAGAUUUUAAAUGAUGAUUGUUUUUCGUUGUUGUUGUUUUUUUUUGUUCUUUUGUUAAUUUCAUUUCAUUUUCUUUUUUUGCUCCGUUUCAUUUUUCAAUGCGGUCACUGAAUUUUAGACUCCACUUGGAAUAAGGAACAAAGACACAAGCCUCCCACCAGACUCGGAUAUAAAAGAUUGCAAGCAAAAACUAGACAUCACCAAGAUCAGACUGCAACAACUCUUAACUGAUCAGAUAUUUUCUCCCUCAACAUUGUGUCUUAAGUGGAAAGCAAAGCACCCCGCAAAAUUAAAGGAAAAUAAAUGCACACAAGCUUUUGAAUGAUCUGCCUUUGUUUAUGAAGAAAAAGUAAAAAUAUUGCUCUGCAAUUUUAGUUUGAGUGAAACGCACCCAGAGAAAUCAGACAUGUGGUUGCAGCAUCCGUUAUUCAUGCGGGCU
rnacentral:lncRNA from 1 species